UACGUAGGGGGCAAGCGUUGUCCGGAUUUAUUGGGCGUAAAGAGCGUGUAGGCGGCUAGAUAGGUCCGUUGUGAAAACUCGAGGCUCAACCUCGAGACGCCGGUGGAAACCAUCCUAGCUAGAGUCCGGAAGAGGAGAGUGGAAUUCCUGGUGUAGCGGUGAAAUGCGCAGAUAUCAGGAAGAACACCCGUGGCGAAGGCGGCUCUCUGGGACGUGACUGACGCUGAGACGCGAAAGCGUGGGGAGCGAACAGG
rnacentral:rRNA from 1 species